GUCUAAGUAUAAGCAAUUAUACAGCGAAACUGCGAAUGGCUCAUUAAAUCAGUUAUCGGUUAUUUGAUAGUACCUUACUACAUGGAUAACCGUGGUAAUUCUAGAGCUAAUACAUGCUGAAAACCCCGACUUCGGAAGGGGUGUAUUUAUUAGAUUAAAAACCAAUGCCCUUCGGGGCUCACUGGUGAUUCAUGAUAACUUCUCGAAUCGCACGGCCUUGCGCCGGCGAUGGUUCAUUCAAAUUUCUGCCCUAUCAACUUUCGACGGCUGGGUCUUGGCCAGCCGUGGUGACAACGGGUAACGGAGGGUUAGGGCUCGACCCCGGAGAAAACGCCUGAGAAACGGCGUUUACAUCCAAGGAAGGCAGCAGGCGCGCAAAUUACCCAAUGCCGACACGGCGAGGUAGUGACGAGAAAUACUGAUACAGGGCUCUUUUGGGUCUUGUAAUUGGAAUGAGUACAAUUUAAAUCUCUUAACGAGGAACAAUUGGAGGGCAAGUCUGGUGCCAGCAGCCGCGGUAAUUCCAGCUCCAAUAGCGUAUAUUAAAGUUGUUGCAGUUAAAAAGCUCGUAGUUGAACCUUGGGCCUGGCUGGCCGGUCCGCCUCACCGCGUGCACUGGUCCGGCCGGGCCUUUCCCUCUGGGGAGCCCCAUGCCCUUUACUGGGCGUGGCGGGGAACCAGGACUUUUACUUUGAAAAAAUUAGAGUGUUCAAAGCAGGCCUAUGCUCGAAUACAUUAGCAUGGAAUAAUAGAAUAGGACGUGUGGUUCUAUUUUGUUGGUUUCUAGGACCGCCGUAAUGAUUAAUAGGGACAGUCGGGGGCGUCAGUAUUCAAUUGUCAGAGGUGAAAUUCUUGGAUUUAUUGAAGACUAACUACUGCGAAAGCAU
rnacentral:rRNA from 1 species